ACCGCGACCCCAGGUCAGGCGGGAUUACC
rnacentral:rRNA from 1 species